ACCUUCGUGGUGUAAUGGUCCACACACUCGGCGCAUGUUCCAGAGAUCCGUGGUUCGAAUCCCGGCAAGGGCA
rnacentral:tRNA from 1 species